GCUCCUAAAUUCGUAUUAGUUUAUAGGCCUACUGCAAUGCGGUGCCGCUAUAGAAAAGGAUAUUCAUUAUUCAACGUAUGGACGAAUCGUUAUCGCGACCAAUACGGGUACCGAAUACUAUACAAAACGGUCUUAGUAAUGAGCCAAUUGUGAGUUUAAAAACAAAUAUUUGGAAAAAUUAGAGUGUUUAAAGUAGGCUCUCAAGUCUGGAUAAUGGUGCAUGGAAUAAUGGAAUAGGACCUCGGUUCUAUUUUGUUGGUUUUCGGAGCGCGAGGUAAUAAUUUAGAGGGACAGAUGGGGCAUUCGUACUAUGCUGUUAGAGGUAAAAUUCUUGACAAGAAUGAUUUCUUUAAUCAAGAGC
rnacentral:ncRNA from 1 species